UUUGGUAUAUGUUAUUCCUUAAAUACAUGUUCUUCUCUCGGAAUAUGGAAUAAAACAAUUACUGUCUUUUGUUUCGGUAAAUAUGGGGUUUAAUUGACUUUUGAAAAACUGAUAUUCACUUCGGCCGUCGGCCUCAGUGAAUAUCAGUUUUUCAAAAGUCAAUAAAACCGCAUAUUUACCUCAUCAAAAGACAGUAAUUGUAUAAUAUU
rnacentral:lncRNA from 1 species